UAUCGAAAUUAUUUUGUCGAUAGGCGGGAUGCAAAAUGCACGACAAACGUCAUCAUCGGAAAAAUCAUCGGCUUGUUGCUUAUUGGCUGUUGAAAAAUCGGCAAAUUCCGAAUAUAAUAUACUUCAGUCAAUGAACUUUCUUCGGAAUUUGCCGAUUUUUCAACAGCCAAUAAGCAACAAGCCGAUGAUUUUUCCGAUGAUGACGUUUGUCGUGCAUUUUGCAUCCCGCCUAUCGACAAAAUAAUUUCGAUAAAAACCCACUUUUUAUCCAUGAAAUUUAAAUACUUCUAAACUUUUUUCAACUCUAAAAAGUUUGAAUAAAGUUAGAAAAAAUAUCCAAGGUGUUUUGUAUGUAGUUUGUUUUCAGAAAGUAGCGGUUUUUGUUGUUGUUUGAAGCGAGCGUAUUAGUGUGUGUAAAUGUAUUUUGUAAAAGAGUUGCCCGCCUUAGGAUAAUAUACUAUAUGAAAAUACAAUGACGUAAACAUCGGAAUCUGCAUGUAUAAUGAGCUACACAAAUAAAUCGCUUGAUAGCAAAUUGUGACGAACUUUAUACGUAUUUUUAAGCGUUUAAUGCAUUUUUACACAUUUUGCUGGGCUGCCUAUGGUAGAAGCAUGAAAAUAUAAAUAGUUGUCGAAUAAAGUUCAAUAUUUUGAAUGCCGAAAUGUAAACAAAGGCUUUGUUUACAUACG